UACGGAGGGUGCAAGCGUUGUCCGGAAUCACUGGGCGUAAAGGGCGCGUAGGCGGUAGCACAAGUCAGUUGUGAAAUCUCCGGGCUUAACUCGGAAAGGUCAACUGAUACUGUGCGACUAGAGUGCAGAAGGGGCAACUGGAAUUCUCGGUGUAGCGGUGAAAUGCGUAGAUAUCGAGAGGAACACCUGCGGCGAAGGCGGGUUGCUGCGCUGACACUGACGCUGAGGCGCGAAAGCCAGGGGAGCGAACGGG
rnacentral:rRNA from 1 species